rnacentral:rRNA from 1 species
AGUGUAGUUAAUAGCUGCAUUAUUUGACGUUAGCGACAGAAGAAGCACCGGGCUAACUCCGUGCCAGCAGCCGCGGUAAUACGGAGGGUGCGAGCGUAAAUCGGAAUUACUGGGCGUAAAGCGCAUGCAGGUGGUUUGUUAAGUCAGAUGUGAAAGCCCGGGGCUCAACCUCGGAAUAGCAUUUGAAACUGGCAGACUAGAGUACUGUAGAGGGGGGUAGAAUUUCAGGUGUAGCGGUGAAAUGCGUAGAGAUCUGAAGGAAUACCGGUGGCGAAGGCGGCCCCCUGGACAGAUACUGACACUCAGAUGCGAAAGCGUGGGGAGCAAACAGGAUUAGAUACCCUGGUAGUCCACGCCGUAAACGAUGUCUACUUGGAGGUUGUGGCCUUGAGCCGUGGCUUUCGGAGCUAACGCGUUAAGUAGACCGCCUGGGGAGUACGGUCGCAAGAUUAAAACUCAAAUGAAUUGACGGGGGCCCGCACAAGCGGUGGAGCAUGUGGUUUAAUUCGAUGCAACGCGAAGAACCUUACCUACUCUUGACAUCCAGAGAACUUUCCAGAGAUGGAUUGGUGCCUUCGGGAACUCUGAGACAGGUGCUGCAUGGCUGUCGUCAGCUCGUGUUGUGAAAUGUUGGGUUAAGUCCCGCAACGAGCGCAACCCUUAUCCUUGUUUGCCAGCACUUCGGGUGGGAACUCCAGGGAGACUGCCGGUGAUAAACCGGAGGAAGGUGGGGACGACGUCAAGUCAUCAUGGCCCUUACGAGUAGGGCUACACACGUGCUACAAUGGCGCAUACAGAGGGCGGCCAACUUGCGAGAGUGAGCGAAUCCCAAAAAGUGCGUCGUAGUCCGGAUCGGAGUCUGCAACUCGACUCCGUGAAGUCGGAAUCGCUAGUAAUCGUGGAUCAGAAUGCCACGGUGAAUACGUUCCCGGGCCUUGUACACACCGCCCGUCACACCAUGGGAGUGGGCUGCAAAAGAAGUAGGUAGUUUAACCUUCGGGAGGACGCUACCACUUUUGUUAC